UACGUAGGGUGCGAGCGUUGUCCGGAAUUACUGGGCGUAAAGAGCUCGUAGGUGGUUUGUCGCGUUGUUCGUGAAAACGUCACAGCUCAACUGUGGGCGUGCGGGCGAUACGGGCAGACUUGAGUUCGGUAGGGGAGACUGGAAUUCCUGGUGGUAGACGGUGAAAUGCGCAGAUAUCAGGAGGAACACCCGGUGGCGAAGGCGGGUCUCUGGGCCGAUGACUGACGCUGAGACGCGAAAAGCGUAGGGGGAGCGAACAGG
rnacentral:rRNA from 1 species